GCACAUACAUUCUCCUUGUAGUCGGUCCUUCUAGAAAAGUGAUCAAGAACAAAGAACGGAUUUAUAUUGAUUAACACGCUCAGAGCUCCGCGACUAACAAGACGCAAGCAAACUCGAAUCAAGACGCGUCGAAAGCUAAAUCGGCGCAAGAUCCGAAGACGGAUAGCGAGACGUCGUCGAGUCCGAGGCGAUCACCAGAAAUUGUAAUUUAUUGCAAAAUAAACGCAUCUCAUAAUUUUCGAAAUGGAUGAUUUCGAUUUGUUGUUAAUUGCUCUGGUCAACAUGGGAGCACUUUUGGUGCAACGUCGUAGAAACCGUGAACGUCAUCGUCGCCGCCGCGCCGUCGGCGUGUCUGGGUACGACCAAUUAACACAAGGAGAAGACAGCAAAGAGCGUUUUACAAUUUUUUUCAGGAGAUGAAAACAGAUGAGCAAAUGUUCCACAAGUAUACACGUAUGACACUGCCAACAUUCCAGCACUUGAUGGACAUUGUUAAUCCAAGUUUAAUGAAACGAAGUCCACGGGCACUUGAACCAGAGCAAAGAGUUGCUUUUACAUUGCGAUUUCUGAUUGGAGACAAAGUUCCAGCAGUUGCUUUUGCCUAUCGUGUUGGUUUAUU